AGAUUUCUUAAAUUAUCAUUUCUUUUGUUUACUAAUUUUAUUGUGUUAGGACAUGUAGAAUAGUAUUGACUGGCAUGUUUACAAUGUACAUUGUUCUUUUUUAAAUU
rnacentral:lncRNA from 1 species